GACGAACGCUGGCGGCGUGCUUAACACAUGCAAGUCGAACGGAAAGGCCCUGCUUUUGUGGGGUGCUCGAGUGGCGAACGGGUGAGUAACACGUGAGUAACCUGCCCUUGACUUUGGGAUAACUUCAGGAAACUGGGGCUAACACCGGAUAGGAGCUCCUGCUGCAUGGUGGGGGUUGGAAAGUUUCGGCGGUUGGGGAUGGACUCGCGGCUUAUCAGCUUGUUGGUGGGGUAGUGGCUUACCAAGGCUUUGACGGGUAGCCGGCCUGAGAGGGUGACCGGCCACAUUGGGACUGCGAUACGGCCCAGACUCCUACGGGAGGCAGCAGUGGGGAAUAUUGCACAAUGGGCGGAAGCCUGAUGCAGCAACGCCGCGUGCGGGAUGACGGCCUUCGGGUUGUAAACCGCUUUCGCCUGUGACGAAGCGUGAGUGACGGUAAUGGGUAAAGAAGCACCGGCUAACUACGUG
rnacentral:rRNA from 1 species